rnacentral:rRNA from 1 species
UAGAGUUUGAUCAUGGCUCAGGAUGAACGCUGGCGGUAUGCCUAACACAUGCAAGUCGUACGAGAGUUUUUAACUCUAGUGGCGGACGGGUGAGUAACACGUGAGAAUUUGCCUUUAGGAGGGGGAUAACAAUUGGAAACGAAUGCUAAUACCCCAUAUGCUUUCGAGUGAAAUGGAUUUAUAUUUAUCCGCCUAGAGAGAAGCUCGCGGCUGAUUAGCUUGUUGGUAAGGUAAGAGCUUACCAAGGCGGCGAUCAGUAUCUGGUUUGAGAGGACGAUCAGACACACUGGAACUGAGACACGGUCCAGACUCCUACGGGAGGCAGCAGUGGGGAAUUUUCCGCAAUGGGCGAAAGCCUGACGGAGCAAUACCGCGUGAGGGAAGACUGCCUAUGGGUUGUAAACCUCUUUUUUCAGGGAGGAAUCAAUGACGUGUACCUGAAGAAUAAGCAUCGGCUAACUCCGUGCCAGCAGCCGCGGUAAGACGGAGGAUGCAAGUGUUAUCCGGAAUCACUGGGCGUAAAGCGUCUGUAGGUGGUUUAAUAAGUCAACUGUUAAAUUUUGAGGCUCAACUUCAAAAUCGCAGUCGAAACUAUUAGACUAGAGUAUAGUAGAGGUAAAGGGAAUUUCCAGUGGAGCGGUGAAAUGCGUAGAUAUUGGAAAGAACACCGAUGGCGAAAGCACUUUACUGGGCUAUUACUAACACU